rnacentral:rRNA from 1 species
GAUGAACGCUGGCGGCGUGCUUAACACAUGCAAGUCGAACGGUGAAGCAGGAGCUUGCUCCUGUGGAUCAGUGGCGAACGGGUGAGUAACACGUGAGCAAUCUGCCCCGAACUCUGGGAUAAGCACUGGAAACGGUGUCUAAUACCGGAUACGACGCGCGACGGCAUCGUCUGCGCGUGGAAAGAACUUCGGUUCGGGAUGAGCUCGCGGCCUAUCAGCUUGUUGGUGAGGUAAUGGCUCACCAAGGCGACGACGGGUAGCCGGCCUGAGAGGGUGACCGGCCACACUGGGACUGAGACACGGCCCAGACUCCUACGGGGGGCAGCAGUGGGGAAUAUUGCACAAUGGGCGCAAGCCUGAUGCAGCAACGCCGCGUGAGUGAUGAAGGCCUUCGGGUCGUAAAGCUCUGUCGCAGGGGAAUAACACAAUGAAGGUACCCUGUAAGAAAGGAUCGGCUAACUUCGUGCCAGCCGCCGCGGUAAUAC